rnacentral:rRNA from 1 species
AUUGAACGCUGGCGACAGGCCUAACACAUGCAAGUCGAGCGAGCGGCGGACGGGUGAGUAAUGUCUGGGAAACUGCCUGAGGGGGGGGGAGAACUCCUGGAAACGGUAGCUAAUACCGCACACCAUCAGAUGUGCCCCGAUAGGAUUGGCUAGUGGGUGGGGUAACGGCUCACCUAGGCGACGAUCCCUAGCUGGUCUGAGAGGAUGACCAGCCACACUGGAACUGAGACACGGUCCAGACUCCUACGGGAGGCAGCAGUGGGGAAUAUUGCACAAUGGGCGCAAGCCUGAUGCAGCCAUGCCGCGUGUGUGAAGAAGGCCUUCGGGUUGUAAAGCACUUUCAGCGGGGAGGCGUUACCCGCAGAAGAAGCACCGGCUAACUCCGUGCCAGCCGCCGCGGUAAUUC